GACGAACGCUGGCGGCGUGCUUAACACAUGCAAGUCGAGCGGAAAGGCCCUUCGGGGUACUCGAGCGGCGAACGGGUGAGUAACACGUGAGUAAUCUGCCCUUGGCUUUGGGAUAACUACCGGAAACGGUGGCUAAUACCGGAUACGACAACCGUCUGCAUGGACUGGUUGUGGAAAGUUUUUUCGGCCAGGGAUGUGCUCGCGGCCUAUCAGCUUGUUGGUGGGGUAAUGGCCUACCAAGGCUUCGACGGGUAGCCGGCCUGAGAGGGUGACCGGCCACACUGGGACUGAGACACGGCCCAGACUCCUACGGGUGGCUG
rnacentral:rRNA from 1 species